AUUGAACGCUGGCGGCAUGCCUUACACAUGCAAGUCGAACGGCAGCACGGGGCAACCUGGUGGCGAGUGGCGAACGGGUGAGUAAUGCAUCGGAACGUACCUUUCAGUGGGGGAUAACGUAGCGAAAGUUGCGCUAAUACCGCAUAUUCUGUGAGCAGGAAAGCAGGGGAUCGCAAGACCUUGCGCUGAUUGAGCGGCCGAUGUCAGAUUAGCUAGUUGGUGAGGCAAAGGCUCACCAAGGCGACGAUCUGUAGCGGGUCUGAGAGGAUGAUCCGCCACACUGGAACUGAGACACGGUCCAGACUCCUACGGGAGGCAGCAGUGGGGAAUUUUGGACAAUGGGGGCAACCCUGAUCCAGCCAUGCCGCGUGAGUGAAGAAGGCCUUCGGGUUGUAAAGCUCUUUCGGCCGGGAAGAAAUCGCACGGGCUAAUACCCUGUGUGGAUGACGGUACCGGAAUAAGAAGCACCGGCUAACUACGUGCCAGCCGCCGCCGUAAGAC
rnacentral:rRNA from 1 species